rnacentral:rRNA from 1 species
UACGUAGGGGGCAAGCGUUGUCCGGAAUCAUUGGGCGUAAAGAGCGUGUAGGCGGCCAGAUAAGUCCGCUGUGAAAUCUCGAGGCUCAACUUCGAGCUGUCGGUGGAAACUGUCUGGCUAGAGUCCGGAAGAGGAGAAUGGAAUUCCUGGUGUAGCGGUGAAAUGCGCAGAUAUCAGGAAGAACACCCGUGGCGAAGGCGGCUCUCUGGGACGGUACUGACGCUGAGGAGCGAAAGCGUGGGUAGCAAACAGG